rnacentral:rRNA from 1 species
GUGGGGAAUCUUCCGCAAUGGACGAAAGUCUGACGGAGCGACGCCGCGUGAGUGAAGAAGGCCUUCGGGUCGUAAAGCUCUGUCAUCGGGGACGAAUGGUCGAUGGAGUGGAAAGCCAUUGAAAUGACGGUACCCGAGAAGGAAGCCACGGCUAACUACGUGCCAGCAGCCGCGGUAAUACGUAGGUGGCAAGCGUUGUCCGGAAUUAUUGGGCGUAAAGCGCGCGCAGGUGGGAUCUUAAGUCUAUUUUGAAAGUUCGGAGCUUAAAUCCGUGAUGGGAGAGAAACUGGGAUUCUUGAGUACCGGAGAGGAAAGCGGAAUUCCCCGUGUAGCGGUGAAAUGCGUAGAUAUGGGGAGGAACACCAGUGGCGAAGGCGGCUUUCUGGACGGUGUCUGACACUGAGGCGCGAAAGCCAGGGGAGCGAACGGGAUUAGAUACCCCAGUAGUCC